rnacentral:rRNA from 1 species
GACGAACGCUGGCGGCGUGCCUAAUACAUGCAAGUCGAACGAACAGAUGAUAACGUAGCUUGCUUCACGAUAGACUGUGAGGUGCGAACAGGUCAGGGACGAGUAAGUAACCUGACUGGGAGCGGGGGGUGACUAUGGGGAACAAAAGCUAAUACAGCAUAAUCUUAAUUAUUGAAUGGUAAAUAAUGGAAAGGCUCAAUCGCACAGCUACAUGCGGGACCUGCGAUGUAUUAGCUAGUAGGAGAGGUAACGGACCAACUAAGCGACGAUACAUAGGCGACCUUGGAGGGUGGUCGGCCACCCUGGGACUGGGACACGGCCCAGACUCCUUCGGGGGGCAGCAGUAGGGAAUCUUCGGCCAUGGACGAAAGUCCGACCGGGCAACGCCGCGGGAGGGGAGAAGGUUCUCGGAUCGUAAAGCCCCGUUUUAAGAGAAGAACGGGUGUGGGAGUGGAAAGUGCACACUGUGACGGUAUCUUACCAGAAAGCGACGGCUAACUACGUG